rnacentral:tRNA from 1 species
GGUGAGAUGUCUGAGUGGCUGAAAGAGCACGCCUGGAAAGCGUGUAUACGUGAAUAGCGUAUCACGGGUUCGAAUCCCGUUCUCACCGCCA